GCCUUCUUAGCUCAGGUGGUAGAGCGUUCCACUCGUAUUGCUAUAUGGAGAGGUCACUAGUUCGAAUCUGGUAGGAGGCA
rfam:Lentinula edodes NBRC 111202 DNA, contig: scaffold240.